AUUGAACGCUGGCGGCAUGCCUUACACAUGCAAGUCGAACGGUAACAGGUUAAGCUGACGAGUGGCGAACGGGUGAGUAAUGUAUCGGAACGUGCCCAGUCGUGGGGGAUAACUACUCGAAAGAGUGGCUAAUACCGCAUACGACCUGAGGGUGAAAGCGGGGGACCGUAAGGCCUCGCGCGAUUGGAGCGGCCGAUAUCAGAUUAGCUAGUUGGUGGGGUAAAAGCCCACCAAGGCGACGAUCUGUAGCUGGUCUAAGAGGACGACCAGCCACACUGGGACUGAGACACGGCCCAGACUCCUACGGGAGGCAGCAGUGGGGAAUUGUGGACAAUGGACGAAAGUCUGAUCCAGCCAUGCCGCGUGCGGGAAGAAGGCCUUCGGGUUGUAAACCGCUUUUGUCAGGGAAGAAACGAGUUUCUCUAAUACAGAGACUUAAUGACGGUACCUGAAGAAUAAGCACCGGCUAACUACGUGCCAGCCGCCGCGGUAACAC
rnacentral:rRNA from 1 species